rnacentral:rRNA from 1 species
AUUGAACGCUGGCGGCAGGCCUAACACAUGCAAGUCGAACGGUAACAGGGAUCAGCUUGCUGAUUCGCUGACGAGUGGCGGACGGGUGAGUAAUGUCUGGGAAACUGCCUGAUGGAGGGGGAUAACUACUGGAAACGGUAGCUAAUACCGCAUAACGUCGCAAGACCAAAGAGGGGGACCUUCGGGCCUCUUGCCAUCGGAUGUGCCCAGAUGGGAUUAGCUAGUAGGUGGGAUAACGGCUCACCUAGGCGACGAUCCCUAGCUGGUCUGAGAGGAUGACCAGCCACACUGGAACUGAGACACGGUCCAGACUCCUACGGGAGGCAGCAGUGGGGAAUAUUGCACAAUGGGCGCAAGCCUGAUGCAGCCAUGCCGCGUGUAUGAAGAAGGCCUUCGGGUUGUAAAGUACUUUCAGCGGGGAGGAAGGGAGUAAAGUUAAUACCUUUGCUCAUUGACGUUACCCGCAGAAGAAGCACCGGCUAACUCCGUG